AGAGAACCAUAAGUUCAUUAUGUUCUCCCAGAUGCUCUCCUAAAUGCUUUGAGUGCUCUACUGUUGAAAAAGAGACGACAGGCAUCAAUCGAAGCAUCAACAUUAAAUACUUUAAAACAGGUGGUAUGAAUACCCAUUAGAGAGACUAUACAGCCCACAGGUGCUCCUGAAAAGGAGCUAAAAGCAAUUACAAGCUUUUGUAGUUGAUAAGAGGUUCUGUUGAUUUCAAGAUCAUUUUCCCUGCUUUUUCUGUUUUGUUUAGAGUAAAGCACUAAAAAUAUACUAAGCAUAUAAGCAUGCUGUCUGAACUUCGUUAGCUGUGCAACUUGUCUUCAAGAAUUCCAACAGGCUAAAGAGGCUUGGAUAAGCAUCCUAAUUUCAGCAGCUUAUAGAUCUGCAGUGCUGACAGUUUUGAGGAUUGGAGAGAUGAAGACGUACUUAUUUCGGUCAUUUUGUUGCUGGUUGGAUCAUCAGCAGUUUGCUAAAAUUGGGUCUAGAUUCCUGGGAAUGAAGGAAGAAGAAACCAGAAAGUUCCCAGUGAAGCAAAUUCAGAAACAUCUGCUGGACUCAUUGGAUUGCAAUCUUCAUUAAACUCAUCAGCAAGUGUCACUGCACUCAGUGCCAGCAAUUAUAAAUUUCCAAGGCUCUGAGAACAACUGGGGAAGGUUUCCUAAAAUACUGACAUAUCAGUGACUUUGGGCAGCAGAAGUCUUUGCACACUGAAUAGUGGUGCAAGUUUGUCUUAACCAGCUGCAAAGGAAGAGAAGCACAUAAACUAGAAACAGGAGCACUUAGCACCACAGAGCUUACAUCUAGCUCAUUUAGGGUCAAGCUAUUCCAGGAAGCAUAGAUUAUGUGCUUGUACAAGAUGUGCUUCUCCAAUACCUAAGCACUUUUGAAUCUGCAAUGUAGUCAUCAAAACCUACACGGAUGUGGGAACAAAGUCCUACUAAUGUUGUUUUAUGUGUCAUACUGUUUACUGAAGAAUGUUAAAAGAGUAUCCCCAAGAUCAGAACCAAGAACUGAGGUAUGAUUAGGCUGCUCCUCUGGUAAAGCACUCAAGUCCAGAAAAGAUUUCUUCAGAAAAAUUCUUCAGAUUUUGACCAUGAUGAAAUAGGACCAUGUUUGGGUAUGAAGCAGGGAUGGUAUGAGAAAGAAUGAUUAUUUUUGCAAAUCCUUUGGCAAAGUUCUUGGUAAUCGCUUCUCGCUACUUUUUUACCCUUGGACAAUGCAGCAACAAAAAAAUCUCAUCUCCCUCAGCUCCUCUUAUCCUUGCUCCAAUAAAUAAAUAAUGUUAUGAGCACCACGUAGUUAAGUAGAAUGUUUUUCUUGUGCUUUGAUCCUAAUCUCUAGAGAAAUAUGUUUACUUUAAGUUUGCUGGAAGCUAGAUUUUUGUUGUUUUGAAGGUCAGCUAAGAAAUCUCUGGAGGUCUCGUGCUAUUCACUCUCAUGGAAUGAAAAGCUGACUCCAGCAUUCCAGCUGCCCUCGCGUGUCUCAGGCAUAGGGAAAGACUGUGAUUUCUUCAUUCCUUGGGAAAAAGAUGAUUUUGUUAUCUGAAUUGGGGCAGCUGAAGAGCUGAAGUACAGCUGAUUCUUGCAUAGAUAGUAGGCAGAGAUAUGUGAUUUCAGUCCAACAUACUGUUGGGAACCUGCUUUAGCAGGGGAGUUGGACUAGAUGGUGUACAGAGGUCCCUUCCAACCCCUACAGUUCAGUGAUUCUGUGAUUUGUAGCAUUAGGGUAGUCCUAGAGACAUACAGGAUGUUGCUGAUGAUGUGAAGAUCUUGCAGCUGAUGUCCCUGGGGUCAGAUCUGAGAAUGCAGCAGUCUGAUGGUAUUAUAAAGCAGAUGAAAAUAAAGCAACAGAGCUGGCUCAUCUGCCCAGUGUUCCAACACAUUAAGAUAAAAUUUAGCUACAGAAAAUUAGGAGAGGGACCUUCUGUAGACUCAGUUUUCUAUAAGAUAAAGGGAUACUGGAAGUCUCUUCUAGCAAAGAAAAACAUAUUAAAAUUGUUGCCAUGUCCAUGAAAACCAGUUAAAUGUAGGAUUGUUAGGAAAGGAAUUGUUUUCUCAUUGGAGCUAAAAAGCACAGCCAUAAUGUUAAUAUGUCUUAAUAAUUUAUCUUAAUAUUCUCCAUAAAUACAUAUUAAUAUACUUUAGAUUAUAGAAACAAAAAGAACAGAAAUGUUGAUCAUACACUUAUGUACAUCUAUUCAUAUGUAUAAAGAUUAUUUUAUUUUUUUUUUGUGGAAAUUCUAAUGCACUAUUUCCUGAUCUAAAUAAGCCUGCCAUUCAACCGCAUCAUUUUUUCUUUAAGAGCAUACAAGGGCUCUGAGACAGUCAUAAAGAAGGAAAAAUGAUGGCAAAAUAAAUCACUGUCACAACACUGAAGGAUAAGAAAAACAAAUCAAUCCCUUAUGAGGGUUACACCCCUGCAAGCCAAUUCAGGCACUAUUUUCAGUUAAGUACAUAUUUUCAUCUUGGAACAUGUUUUUGCUUACUAGCAUGUAUUUUCUGAUUUCAUUUUCCCCAUUUUUGCUGUUUUUCUGUUUGUUUUUGUUUGUUUGAAAGCUUCUGGAUAAUUCAUCACAUAUGUUUGCAAAAUACAUUACUGACUCAAGGCUACAACUGCAUUAUAAAGCCAACAACAUCAUUAAAAGGAAAAGUUUCUAACAAGACCACUGUUUUAUAAACGAAAGUUUCUAACAAUGUUCUCCUAGACCUAAUGGAAGUCCCAAUCCCUCAGAAAUACAACUACAAUAAA